GUUUUUGUACGGCGGCUCAAUGAGUUUGUAUCACUGUGGUUGACUUUUGGUGGAGGAACCAGACUGGAUGUUGGAAGUGAUGUCCGUCCCACCCUGACGGUGCUGCCCCCCUCCAGUGAGGAGCUGCAGCAGGGGAAGGCCACGCUCAUGUGCCUGGCCAACAAGGGCUUCCCCUCAGACUGGAGUCUGGCCUGGAAGGUGGACGGCAGCAGCAGCAGCAGCAGCAGCAGCUGGGAGGAGAGCAGGAGCCCCGGGGUGCUGGAGAAGGACGGCCGC